rnacentral:rRNA from 1 species
UACAGAGGUCUCAAGCGUUGUUCGGAUUCAUUGGGCGUAAAGGGCGCGUAGGCUGCGGGGCAAGUCGGGUGUGAAAUCUCAGAGCUCAACUCUGAAACUGCACUCGAUACUGCUUUGCUUGAGGACUGGAGAGGAGAUUGGAAUUCACGGUGUAGCAGUGAAAUGCGUAGAUAUCGUGAGGAAGACCGGUGGCGAAGGCGGAUCUCUGGACAGUUCCUGACGCUGAGGCGCGAAGGCCAGGGGAGCAAACGGG